ensembl:lncRNA
AAUGUGGAGGCUAUAUACAGGGGGUACCAGUACAGAGUCAAUGUGGAGGCUAUAUACAGGGGGUACUGGUACAGAGUCAAUGUGGAGGCUAUAUACAGGGGGUACUGGUACAGAGUCAAUGUGGAGGCUAUAUACAGGGGGUACUGGUACAGAGACAAUGUGGAGGCUAUAUACAAGGGGUACCGGUACAGAGUCAAUGUGGAGGCUAUAUACAGGGGGUACAGGUACAGAGUCAAUGUGGAGACUAUAUACAGGGGGUACAGGUACAGAGACAAUUUGGAGGCUAUAUACAGGGGGUACAGGUACAGAGACAAUGUGGAGGCUAUAUACAGGGGGUACCGGUACAGAGUCAAUGUGGAGGCUAUAUACAGGGGGUAC